rnacentral:rRNA from 1 species
GGUUAAGCGACUAAGCGUACACGGUGGAUGCCCUGGCAGUCAGAGGCGAUGAAGGACGUGCUAAUCUGCGAUAAGCGUCGGUAAGGUGAUAUGAACCGUUAUAACCGGCGAUUUCCGAAUGGGGAAACCCAGUGUGUUUCGACACACUAUCAUUAACUGAAUCCAUAGGUUAAUGAGGCGAACCGGGGGAACUGAAACAUCUAAGUACCCCGAGGAAAAGAAAUCAACCGAGAUUCCCCCAGUAGCGGCGAGCGAACGGGGAGCAGCCCAGAGCCUGAAUCAGUAUGUGUGUUAGUGGAAGCGUCUGGAAAGGCGCGCGAUACAGGGUGACAGCCCCGUACACAAAAAUGCACAUGCUGUGAGCUCGAUGAGUAGGGCGGGACACGUGGUAUCCUGUCUGAAUAUGGGGGGACCAUCCUCCAAGGCUAAAUACUCCUGACUGACCGAUAGUGAACCAGUACCGUGAGGGAAAGGCGAAAAGAACCCCGGCGAGGGGAGUGAAAAAGAACCUGAAACCGUGUACGUACAAGCAGUGGGAGCACGCUUAGG